rnacentral:rRNA from 1 species
CCCUUAGAGUUUGAUCCUGGCUCAGGAUGAACGCUGGCGGCGUGCCUAAUACAUGCAAGUCGAACGAAUCUCUUUUAGAGAUGAGUGGCGAACGGGUGAGUAAUACAUAGGUAACCUGCCCCUGUGCGGGGGAUAACAGGAGGAAACUCCUGCUAAUACCGCAUAGCCAUGAGCACCGCAUGGAGCUCAUGCCAAAUAUCCUUUAUGGGAUAGCGCAGGGAUGGACCUAUGGCGCAUUAGCUGGUUGGCGGGGCAACGGCCCACCAAGGCAACGAUGCGUAGCCGGCCUGAGAUGGCGGACGGCCACAUUGGGACUGAGACACGGCCCAGACUCCUACGGGAGGCAGCAGUAGGGAAUUUUCGGCAAUGGGGGAAACCCUGACCGAGCAACGCCGCGUGAGCGAAGAAGGCCUUCGGGUCGUAAAGCUCUGUUGUAAAGGAAGAACGGCGCAUACAGGAAAUGGUAUGCGAGUGACGGUACUUUACCAGAAAGCCACGGCUAACUACGUGCCAGCAGCCGCGGUAAUACGUAGGUGGCGAGCGUUAUCCGGAAUCAUUGGGCGUAAAGAGGGAGCAGGCGGCCGCAAGGGUCUGUGGUGAAAGACCGAAGCUAAACUUCGGUAAGCCAUGGAAACCGGGCGGCUAGAGUGCGGAAGAGGAUCGUGGAAUUCCAUGUGUAGCGGUGAAAUGCGUAGAUAUAUGGAGGAACACCAGUGGCGAAGGCGACGGUCUGGGCCGCAACUGACGCUCAUUCCCGAAAGCGUGGGGAGCAAAUAGGAUUAGAUACCCUAGUAGUCCACGCCGUAAACGAUGGUCACUAAGUGUCGGGGGUCAAACCCCGGUGCUGCAGUCAACGCAAUAAGUGACCCGCCUGAGUAGUACGUUCGCAAGAAUGAA